GUUAUAGCUCAGUAGUAGAGCACCUGAUUUGCAUGCCAAAGGUUCCAGAUUCAAUCCCUGGUGUCAUCA